rnacentral:rRNA from 1 species
GAUGAACGCUGGCGGCGUGCCUAAUACAUGCGAGUCGAGCGAACAGACGAGGAGCUUGCUCCUCUGACGUUAGCGGCGGACGGGUGAGUAACACGUGGAUAACCUACCUAUAAGACUGGGAUAACUUCGGGAAACCGGAGCUAAUACCGGAUAAUAUAUUGAACCGCAUGGUUCAAUAGUGAAAGACGGUUUUGCUGUCACUUAUAGAUGGAUCCGCGCCGCAUUAGCUAGUUGGUAAGGUAACGGCUUACCAAGGCAACGAUGCGUAGCCGACCUGAGAGGGUGAUCGGCCACACUGGAACUGAGACACGGUCCAGACUCCUACGGGAGGCAGCAGUAGGGAAUCUUCGGCAAUAGGGGAAAGCUUGACGGAGCAACGCCGCGUGAGUGAUGAAGGUAUUCGGAUCGUAAAACUAUGUUAUUAGGGAAGAACAAAUGUGUAAGUAACAAUGCACGUCUUGACGGUACCUAAUCAGAAAGCCAAGGCUAACUACGUG